rnacentral:rRNA from 1 species
UGGGGAAUAUUGCACAAUGGGCGGAAGCCUGAUGCAGCAACGCCGCGUGAGGGAUGACGGCCUUCGGGUUGUAAACCUCUUUUUAGCAGGGAAGAAGCGAGAGUGACGGUACCUGCAGAAAAAGCGCCGGCUAACUACGUGCCAGCAGCCGCGGUAAUACGUAGGGCGCAAGCGUUAUCCGGAAUUAUUGGGCGUAAAGAGCUCGUAGGCGGUUUGUCGCGUCUGCUGUGAAAUCCCGAGGCUCAACCUCGGGCCUGCAGUGGGUACGGGCAGACUAGAGUGCGGUAGGGGAGAUUGGAAUUCCUGGUGUAGCGGUGGAAUGCGCAGAUAUCAGGAGGAACACCGAUGGCGAAGGCAGA